CCCUUAGAUGUUCUGGGCCGCACGCGCGCUACACUGAUGCAUUCAACGAGUCUAAAACCUGCUCUGAUAGGGGUGGGUAAUCUUUUGAAUGUGCAUCGUGAUUGGGAUAGAUGAUUGCAAUUUUUCAUCUUCAACGAUGAAUGCCUAGUAAACGCAAGUCAUCAGCUUGCAUUGAUUACGUCCCUGCCCUUUGUACACACCGCCCGUCGCUCCUACCGAUUGAAUGAUCCGAUGAAUAUCAUGGAUUGAGGAUGCAAGUAGGUUCGCCUAUCUUCAUCUUCGAGAAGUGAAGUAAAUCUUAUCAUUUAGAGGAAGGAGAAGUCGUAACA
rnacentral:rRNA from 1 species